GUUCUUAGAGGGUAUCUGAUGUAUAAAAAACUACCAAAUAUUAUCUACCUAUGAACCCUGUUUCUAGAUCUUCCACUAUAGCUGUUCUAUUACACUCAUUUAUGUUUUACCAUUUAUAUAGAUAUGAUACAAAGUUAGCAUGAGAAGACAUUUGCUAGAAUAUAGUGUAAUUUUAUUUUGAAAUGGUAAUAUGGUGUACAUUUGUCGUUCACUCAAGAAAAUGUUGACAGGUUAGUUCUCACUUUUGUCAUUGUUAAAGGAAAGUUUUACAGAGUAGUGGCUUGACUGAUCAUGUUGUAUGGGGCGGACUGUUGGCCAGUCAAGACUUCUCAUGUUCAGAAGCUAAAAGUUGCGGAGGCGAGGAUGCUGAAAUGGACGUGUGGUCAUACUAGGAGGGAUAGGAUUAGGAAUGGAGAUGUUCAAGAUAAGGUGGGAGUGGCCUGUGUGGUGGACAAGACACGUGAAGCUAGGCUGAGAUGGUUCGGGCACGUGAAGAGGAGAAGCACAAAUGCCCCUGUGAGGAGGCGUGAGAGAUUGGCUAUAACAGGUUUAAGGAUGGGGCGUGGUAGACCAAAGAAAUAUUGGGGAGAGGUGAUCAGACAGGACAUGACACAUCUUCAACUUAUCGAGGACAUAAUCCUCGAUAGGAGGGUGUGGAGGUCGAAGAUUAGGGUUGUAAGUUAGUUGGUAGUCGAGCGUAUUUUCUUUCCAAACCCGUACUUCCUUCCCUAGUUGUAGUACUAGUGUUAUUCUUGUGUUCCCUAUUUUUAGAUCGAUAUUAUUACUUGAUGUUUCCUUUGCUUCAUUUUUAUUUUUUCUUGUUGUCACUAUUUCGUUUUUCGAAGUUCUUUGUCAUUAUUGUUGUGAUUUUACUUUAUUGAGCCUAGGGUCUUCCAGAGACAGCCUCUCUAUCUUCACAAGGUAGGGGUAAGGACUGCGUACAUACUACCCUCCCCAGACCCCACUUAUGAGGAUAUACUGGGUAUGUUGUUAUAUCAUUUGAUGGCUCAAUGAUUAUUGCACAUAAAUUUUGAGUGCUCGCCAAGGUCCUUUCCAUCUAGUGCUUUGCUUUUAUGUUUGCAGUGGUGAAAUAGAAAUGUGCAUGUGGAGUUGUGUUUUUUAUGCCAUCCAUUUAUCCAGCACUCUGGUGUAUACUCAUGUUUUCGCUACAGGUGCUAUGCCCGUCUGCAUCCUCAUGCCGUAAACUGCAGGAAGAAGAAAUGUGGCCAUAGCAACCAGUUGAGGCCAAAGAAGAAGAUCAAGUAAACAGGAGGUUGCAUUUGCUGUCUAGAUGCUAUGCCAAUUGCAUGAUUUUGUAGUUCUUUGCUUAGCUCACAUUUUGGUGGCUCUAUUGUUGUCUGUUUAACUGCAGCACACAUUUGUUUCAACUUCAGUUUCAUUUACAAAAAGAAUUUAGUGCUCAUUUUGAGUUUGGUA